rnacentral:rRNA from 1 species
ACCUGCCUUCAGGAUGGGGACAACAGACGGAAACGACUGCUAAUACCGAAUACGUUCCACGGGCCGCAUGACCUGUGGAAGAAAGGGUAGCCUCUACCUGUAAGCUAUCGCCUGAAGAGGGGUUUGCGUCUGAUUAGGCAGUUGGUGGGGUAACGGCCCACCAAACCAACGAUCAGUAGCCGGUCUGAGAGGAUGAACGGCCACACUGGAACUGAGACACGGUCCAG